UAUUAAUGAGAAACGUAACUCACAAAAAACUUGACAAGGAUGAACGAUAAAACAAGAAAACAAUAAACCUAGCCCAUUUACCAGUGCGCUGGUCCUGAUUCUUUGAGAUCGAAGUGUGCCUGAGUGCGGAUAUAUAUAUCCAUUACUAAACCGUGUGUGCAUGUGUUUUAUCUAAAAAAAAUGCACCUAGCAAUCUCGAGCUAGCAGCAAGACAAAAUGAGAUACGCCCUGGUACAAGAGAACAUCAAGUAACCAAUGACGAGAAGAUCAAGUAAUCAAUGACAAGACAACAGCAAAGAUCACAAAUCUCGUCGCCAAAACUGAAAGACACAGUAGAUGUUUCUCCUUAGCAAAUGACUUCCUCAAGAAAAAAUAUUUGCCUUAGCCUAAAAAAACUACAGCCAAGAUGAGCUUCUCCUUAAAAAAAUUAUACUGGUCCUUGAACAAUUGAACCAGCAAGA
rnacentral:misc_RNA from 1 species